AUUGAACGCUGGCGGCAGGCUUAACACAUGCAAGUCGAACGAGUGGCGGACGGGUGAGUAAUGUCUGGGAAACUGCCUGAUGGAGGGGGAUAACUACUGGAAACGGUAGCUAAUACCGCAUACCAUCAGAUGUGCCCAUAUGGGAUUAGCUAGUAGGUGGGGUAAAGGCUCACCUAGGCGACGAUCCCUAGCUGGUCUGAGAGGAUGACCAGCCACACUGGAACUGAGACACGGUCCAGACUCCUACGGGAGGCAGCAGUGGGGAAUAUUGGACAAUGGGCGAAAGCCUGAUGCAGCCAUCCCGCGUGUAUGAAGAAGGCCUUCGGGUUGUAAAGUACUUUCAGCGGAGAGGCGUUACCCGCAGAAGAAGCACCGGCUAACUCCGUGCCAGCAGCCGCGGUAAUUC
rnacentral:rRNA from 1 species